GCAUGGAAUAGCACAGUUAGCAGAGCACAAGACUUUUAAUCUCAGAGUCGUGGGUUCAAUCCCCAUGUUGGGCA